rnacentral:rRNA from 1 species
GAUGAACGCUGGCGGCGUGCCUAAUACAUGCAAGUCGAGCGAACAGACGAGGAGCUUGCUCCUCUGACGUUAGCGGCGGACGGGUGAGUAACACGUGGAUAACCUACCUAUAAGACUGGGAUAACUUCGGGAAACCGGAGCUAAUACCGGAUAAUAUAUUGAACCGCAUGGUUCAAUAGUGAAAGACGGUUUUGCUGUCACUUAUAGAUGGAUCCGCGCCGCAUUAGCUAGUUGGUAAGGUAACGGCUUACCAAGGCAACGAUGCGUAGCCGACCUGAGAGGGUGAUCGGCCACACUGGAACUGAGACACGGUCCAGACUCCUACGGGAGGCAGCAGUAGGGAAUCUUCCGCAAUGGGCGAAAGCUUGACGGAGCAACGCCGCGUGAGUGAUGAAGGUCUUCGGAUCGUAAAACUCUGUUAUUAGGGAAGAACAUAUGUGUAAGUAACUAUGCACAUCUUGACGGUACCUAAUCAGAAAGCCACGGCUAACUACGUG